GCACCUAAAUCUUUCCCAUUCCUUGCUACUUCGUGCUGGCAUGGGGACAGAUGGUGCUACAGUACAAGCAGAGGAAAUCCAGAUGGGUUGUUUCCAUUUUUCUUGGGACCUGUCUCUACAACUCUGCCACAGUU